rnacentral:rRNA from 1 species
AUGGGGCGGCAUUGGGCCGGCGUCCUGCUCCUCGCCCUGCACUGCGGGGUGGCGGCGCUGCUCCCCCCCUGCUCCGCGGCCUCGGCUCCGCCCCUGCCCCCUCCCAUCGGCGGCGACGCGUCGGCGCUGCUGGCCUUCAAGCGGGCGGUGAUCGAGGACCCGCACGCGGCGCUGGCCGACUGGACGGACGCCGACGGGGACGCCUGCGACUGGCGCGGCGUCGUCUGCUCCUCGCCCCACGGCUCCGUCGUCUCCCUGAGGCUGUCGAACGCGUCGCUCAAGGGGUUCAUCGCGCUGGAGCUCGGGCAGCUCAUCUUCUUGCAAGAGCUGUAUUUGGAUCACAACCUGCUUUUCGGUACGAUCCCGAAGCAGCUGGGAUCGCUGAGGAACCUCAGGGUCUUGGAUUUGGGCGCUAACCGGCUCGCUGGCCCUAUACCUCCUGAGCUGAGUGGGCUGAACAGCGUGAGCGUAAUAAACCUGCAUUCCAACGGGCUAACCGGGAACAUACCACCGCAGCUGGGCAAGCUACCAAAUCUUGUUCAGCUUAGGUUGGACAGGAACAGGCUGAAAGGGUCAAUUCCUGGUGGCAAUGCUACUGGUUUUUCUCCUAUGGCAGAUACCGGGUCCACACCUCACAGUGGACUAUGCCCGUCUCCUCGAUUAAGCGUUGCAGAUUUCUCCUUCAACUUCCUUGUUGGGAAAAUCCCAAUUUGUUUGAAGUAUCUUCCAAGGUCAAGUUUUCAGGGGAACUGCUUCCAGGAUGAGUACUCUAUACGACAACGCGCUCAUCAAAUUUGUGCAAGUGCGUCUACAGCUGCUAAUUUAAAGGGAUUCAAACGCCCUGCUUCUGAGCAUAAGCAUGAUAAAGUGCAGCAACCGACUUGGCUUAUUGUUUUAGAAAUCGCAACCGGUGCUCUCCUGCUUGUUUUCCUGAUCACUGGUGCAAUUACUGCCUCCAGAAGCUGCAAUCUAAAGCCUUCUAUAAGAAUAUCAUCAUGGAGUAGAUCAAAAAGUUGGAGCGACGAGAUAACAGUACUGAUUGAUUCUGAUAUGCUGAAAAGUUUGCCAAAGUUGAGUCGCCAGGAACUUGAAGUAGCAUGUGAGGAUUUUAGCAACAUUAUUGGCUCAACUCCGGAGACAGUAGUCUACAAAGGAACAAUGAAGGAUGGACCUGAGGUUUCUGUCAUAUCAUUAUGCGCCUUUGAAGGUCAUUGGACUAGCCAGCAUGAGCUCUUUUACCAAAACAAGGUUAUUGAUCUGGCAAGGCUGAAUCAUGAGAACAUAGCCAAGUUUCUGGGCUACUGCAGAGAGAGUGACCCGUUCUCGAGGAUGUUAGUCUUUGAGUACGCAUCAAAUGGGACCCUGUACGAGCACCUACACUAUGGGGAAGCAGCCCAAUUUUCUUGGCUCAGACGGAUGAAAAUAGCCAUCGGCAUCGCCCAAGGUUUAAGGUAUCUGCACACCGAGUCGCAGCCUCCUUUCGCUAUAUCAGAGCUGAACUCCAAUUCAGUUUACGUUACAGAAGAUUUUACCCCCAAGCUUGUCGACUUUGAGUGCUGGAAAAUGCUGUUUUCGAGGCACGAGAAGGCGCUCGGCCACUUCAACAGCAAAGCCUCUUUCCCUAGCCGGGACUCUUCGGAGGAUAAGUACAUGGACAUCCAAGGCAACACGUUUGCCUUUGGAGUGAUCUUGCUCGAGAUCAUCAGCGGGCGGCUUCCCUACUGCAAAGACAAAGGCUACUUGGUGGACUGGGCCAUCAAGUACCUCCAGCAGCCGGAGGAGAUCGGGAAGCUGGUCGACCCGGAGCUGACCAACGUGCGGACGGAGGACCUGGCGGUGAUCUGCAGCGUGGUGAGCCGGUGCGUCGACCCCGACCCGUCGAAGCGGCCGUCGAUGCAGAUCAUCGCGGGGGCGCUGGAGACCGGCAUCGACCUCUCGGCGGCCGGCAUCCUCAAGGAGUCCUCCCUGGCGUGGGCGGAGCUCGCCCUGUCGUUGUAG